CCCCUGGAACAGUGGGACAGUGGCGGCUGAGAUUCUAUUGCCUGGUAGGAGAUGGCAGAGAAGUUUUGGCAAUAUGCGCAGUUGCCUGGAGCAGCAUCCGCCAGUUAAAGUCGGCUUAAGCGCCUGUGAGCCUCCCCUGGGGUCUCUAGAAACACUCUGCUGCUGCCUAUGUGUGGGGAUGUCCCAAGGGGUCUCUAUGAUGUCAUUCCUGGAAUCUGAUGAGGCUUCCAUGUGAAACUAGCAAAACGGCCAUUUUGCUUCUCCUGUCUUAACAAACGCGGAGAAAGUCUGGACCACUCUAACGAAAGUGAACAGGAAACCUUUGUCUCCUGGAAGUUGACCCCAUCUUGUGUGUGAAGUAUAUACUUUCAACUUUUGCAUGCUCUCCCUAUGGCUCGGGGAGAACUCUGGUAUCUGCUUAGCUAUCUCCUUUUUCAUGAAACAAACCAGAUUUUUGACAACACCGACUGAACUUGGUCCAUUGCAGACAUUGCCCAAGAAACCACCUGGCCUAGCUACAUUGUAAUAACUGCUCUGAGCAUCUAAUUCCACCAGGUCUUGUUUGAAAAAGAGAAAUUCCCCAAAUGACUAAUGCUUUUAGGUCCGGCGGCAGUUUUUCAUUGUCCUCAAAGCACCUGGUGUAACCUACUUGCUUUCAAUUCUUCUGAGAGCCUGUGGAUUUGAAAUGAAAAAAAGAAAAUAGGAUCCCCUAAGUCCACAGGGCAAGGCAAUCUGCUUUCAUUAAAGAGAACUCCAAAUGUUUC